rnacentral:rRNA from 1 species
AUCNUCNAGAUAGCCANGCANGUCUAGUACAUGCCGCAUUAAGGCGAAACCGCGAAUGGCUCAUUAAAUCAGUUAUGGUUCCUUGGAUCGUACCUACCUUACUUGGAUAACUGUGGUAAUUCUAGAGCUAAUACAUGCAGCAGAGCUCCGACCUUCGGGUACGAGCGCUUUUAUUAGACCAAAACCAAUCGGUCUUCUGACCGUUUCUUGUGGUGACUCUGGAUAACUUUGGGCUGAUCGCACAGACUAGAUCUGGCGACGUAUCUUUCAAGUGUCUGCCUUAUCAACUUUCGAUGGUAGGUUACGCGCCUACCAUGGUCGUAACGGGUAACGGGGAAUCAGGGUUCGAUUCCGGAGAGGGAGCCUGAGAAACGGCUACCACAUCCAAGGAAGGCAGCAGGCGCGCAAAUUACCCACUCCCAGCACGGGGAGGUAGUGACGAAAAAUAACAAUACGGGACUCUUUUGAGACCCCGUAAUUGGAAUGAGUACACUCUAAAUCCUUUAACGAGGAUCCAUUGGAGGGCAAGUCUGGUGCCAGCCGCCGCGGUAACUCCAGCUCCAAUAGCGUAUAUUAAAGUUGUUGCGGUUAAAAAGCUCGUAGUUGGAUCUCAGUUCCAGACGGGUGGUCCGCCUACCGGUGGUUACUGCCUGUUCUGAACAGCCAGCCGGUUUCUCUUGAUGAUCUUCACCGGUUGUCUUGGGUGACCGGCAAGUUUACUUUGAAAAAAUUAGAGUGCUCAAAGCAGGCGUGACGCCUGAAUAAUGGUGCAUGGAAUAAUGGAAUAGGACCUCGGUUCUAUUUUGUUGGUUUUCGGAACACGAGGUAAUGAUUAAGAGGGACAGACGGGGGCAUUCGUAUUGCGACGCUAGAGGUGAAAUUCUUGGACCGUCGCAGGACGAACUACUGCAGANUUUUUUUUUNNNGNAAAAAAA